rnacentral:rRNA from 1 species
ACACGACUACAUUAGAUACCCCCGGUAGUCCUAGCCGUAAACGAUACUCGCUAGGUGUCGGCCACGGUGUCGACCGUUGUCGGUGCCGUAGGGAAGCCGUGAAGUCGAGCCACUGGGAAGUACGGCCGCAAGGCUGAAACUUAAAGGAAUUGGCCGGGGGAGCACCUACUAACGGGUGGAGCUUGCGGUUUAAUUGGAUUCAACGCCGGAAAUCUUACCGGGACCGACAGCAACAUGAAGGCCAGGCUGAAGACUUUGCCGGAUUAGCUG